GCUUAAAUAGUUUAAAAAAAACAUUAGUUUUGUAAACUAAAGUCGAAAUAUUUCUUUAAGCU
rnacentral:tRNA from 1 species